CAUGCUCCAGCGCUCUGGGAGAGUUUAUAGUCCUGAGAGUUGAACACUGGAUGACUGACAGCUGUCCUUCAUGACAACAGAAGACACAGAAAUCCUCCUCAUCAAAAACAUGACUUUGAUCUGCGUCCUCAUCUGGACUCUCCUCUGCUGCUGCUUCACAGAGUCCAGAGGUCAGGUCACAGUGAUUCAGCCUGCAGCAGUGAGAGCUGAUCUGGGAGGAUCUGUUACCAUCAACUGUAGAACCAGUCACAGAGUCGAUGAUGGAGAAGAUCAGUUUUGGUACCAACAGAGAGAUGGAGAGCCUCCUAAAUUAAUUUUUAGCUAUCGCAAUCAGAGAGUUACAGGAACUCCAGCCCAUUUCUCUGCCAGUGGAUCAAACACUGAUUUCACUCUGAAAAUCAGUGGAGUUCAGGCUGAAGAUGCUGCAGUUUAUUACUGUCAGGGUGAAUUCUUGGUGAACAGUCAGUGGAUGUUCUCACAGUGA